AUGGGCCCUGAAGGGACUAGGCUGGGUUUUGGAGGGCUCUGCAUACCACACGAGUCUUCCUGUUCAGGCUCCUGAGGCAGGAGCUGAGUCAUCUCAGCAGGAAUGGGAUGAGCAGCAGAUGUCUGUCUGUACUUCAUGUCAGUCAUCUGGCAUGUGUCAUCUGGCAUGGCCCGUCUCUGUGCCUCACCCCUAAAGAGGUGAUGGGCACAUCCAAGGACACACAGGGUGUUGUCUGGUCCAACUCAGGGCAUGGAUAAGCAGCGCGCUCCAAAAUUCCAUGCUUUCUCUGCCAUACCUCUAGCCCAACCCUCCUCCUCCCCAAAGCCUGCUCCUCUGCAGCUACUAAAUUACCUCUUGCCUGCAGGAAGGAGAAGCCUUGAGCUGCCUCUGUUAUCACCACAAACACCAUGGCAGCAGGAGAGGAUGGGUGGUAACCCUGACAAUACCAGUAAGCAACUUGUGCUGUGCAAUGUGACCAGCAGCCAACUCAUCCCACCAGGUAGACCCUGGGGCAGUGACUCACAGGGCUGUCACAGCCAGCGUGGUCCAAACUGGUGUGUGGGAAUUGCUCAUGGUGCUUGGGGAAGCAUUGCUGAUUGAUGGGAUGAGUGCUCUUCUGCUGAUUAUAUUUAUGGCAGCCUCCAGGGAACAUGUCCAAAGCUCUGGUUUUUCUGGCUUGUUGGUUCCCUGCCUCUUCCCUGCUGUCAUAUUGCAGACACAAUCUGUGGUUAGUGUCCUGACCAAGAACUUGGAGCACCUCCUUCCUGCUUCUUCCUCCAUGAACUGGUCAUGAGACUUGCUGGACUAGAAGCUACAAAGGCUGCACCGAGCUUUCCUUGUGUUUUAAGAGAAGUCAUUUCCUGGUGGUGGUCCCCUGAGCAAAUCCCAAGACUGAUGUCAUCCGCGUUGGUAUGUAAGCACAUGCAGGUAAACGACAUCACUGUGAACUUGUGUCAUGUCCAGCGUCAUCUAGAUGUGGCAAAUAAGGAUAAUAAAGAGGGAAAAGUCAGAUUUCUCAUGAUCAUAUCUCCUCUGGAGUGUGAACUGACUUUGACAUCCCUAUCCCAUCCCGCAGAGCAUGGGCAGAGCCUCCAAAAAGCAAAAGUGAUGCUUGGUAAGAAAACUUGGAGGAGAAAAUGCUAUGUUGUCAAACAUGCAUCUUCACCUGCUGGUCAGGGCAUAUCUCUGGGGGUGUUUUAUAUCCCUAACAUGUUCUACCAUUGUUCUUGGCUCUGUUUCCCAUCCUCUUCAUUUUAUUACUGCUUUUUACUUGGACAAGUUUUACUGAUUUCAGGUCAAGUCUGUGUGCAGGGUAACCCUGAUGUUGGGCAUAUUUGGCAGCAUGGGUGAGGAAGUCAAGAGGAAGGUGGAGGACUCCUGUUUUUCUCAGCAACAGACCAAGAAAAGGCGUCAUCAGCAGGAAGAACAGCCGUUCUGGGAGCUGCCGUGUGGACAGCACAGGAAGGUCUUUGAUGCUGAGGUGAUGAGGAGCUGAAGUAGGACAUCUAGGACAGACAAACCCUGGGAAGAAGUUGGCAUAGCACCCUGCUGGGUACUUUGGACUGGAGAGACUGAGUGAAGAGUGGAUGAGGACUGAGUUCAAUGUCCCCAUCUUAUACCUCUCUGCCCCUUUUUUAGGUGAUCAUCCUUGACAUUUAGUAUUUACUCAGAGCUCAGACUCUGAAGAAGGGCUUAAGCCAGUGGCAACUAAUUCCAACAGAAGGUCAAGAGCUUGUAAAAAUGCACAUGACAAGAGGGACCCUUAGAGAAAGUGGGACUUCAUGUGUGACUGCCUGCCUGCCCACAUUCCAAUUUGGAGAGGAUUGGAGUAGGGAGCUAUAAAAGCCAUUUGAAAGUGCAAGUUCCAGAUCCUUCAGGAGACAAAUGCACAUUUAUUUAAGGGCUCAGACAAGGAAAGAGAAAAAAACCCCAUGGAAGUCCAUGCACAUCUCCGUGGCAUCUCUGACUCUUGCAUCAAUUGUAGAGCCCUCCAAUGGUUUCCAAAGCCAAAUUUUUGUUCCCUGACUGACAGCAGUGCUGGUUUAACUGAAAAUGCUCUUCAGCUGCUCAGUGUAUGCAGGCAUCCAGCCUGGGAAAGUGCAGCUAAGACAGUGAAUGUCUGUCAGAGGCCAGGACAGCUUUAACUACAGGCUUCCCUAACUCUAUUGCCUCUGGAUUUUGCUGCUUCUUGCAAAAUCAGGACAUGAAAGUCCUUAAGUGUCUCCUGGCAGGAUGAUUGCUGUGAAGUGUCUUUGGGCUGCUGUGAAGGGCAAAAAUCAAUGUGACUCAGAGGCUGCAGGACCUUGCCCUGCAAAUAAUGCUGCUGGGAGCAGGAGAGGAAGGUUCAGACUGAGGCACUGGUGGAUCCUGGAGUGAUGCACUUCAGUUUGGGAAUGAGGAAUUCAGAGGUUGGUGGUGGCAAAGAUCAAUGAAUACAUCAUCAAACAGGAGCUGAUUCAUAAAACAAACUGAUACCACUCGGCAGAGAGGUUGUGCUGGGACCUCCCAAAGACACAGUGAAGAAUGGAGCAGACGUCUGACCGGUGUGUGCUAUGAAUGACCAGUGCCUUGACCCUCUUGCUUUUGGCCAAAGGGUGCUGGUGUAUCAGAGAACCCUCUGAUGGCCAUAAUGGAGCUGCAUUGGUUUAUACUGGUUAAGAUCCACAGUUCCCAGCAGGAGUGAAAAGAGAAGCUGGUCUCAGCUCUAGCUGGCUGGAAAAAACUUCUAAAAACUGUUUCAAAUCAGCUAUGAUCAAUAAAAUAAACAGAACAGGAGAAUGAAGGAGAGGAGUGGGAUGUGGGAAAGAAGACCUUCUGAAGUCUCUUGUAUAAGCCCAGCCACAUGGGAAUGAGGACUUGCAGGAGAAGGGUGCCUGAUGGCUGAGGUAUCCAUCACAGACUGUUGUGAUUCAGCUGCGAUGAAGUUUUGCACAGGUGCAUGAAGGAGUUUGAAGGAGGCCCAUGUAGUGACACAGGACUGCAGAUUUUCUGAACCCUUUUCAUGCCCAGUCCUGAAGGGUACAGAGGAAAGGGUUAACGCCUCCCAGAACUCAGUUGUGUUGGGAAUGAAAUAGAAAAUCUGAAAGCAGGGCUGGGAGAGACUUAUCAUGGUGCUGUGCCUGUUAGCAGAAGACUGCCCCUUCCUUUGACACAGGUGGUCCUGUUGCCAGCAGAAGGUGGGAGCUGGAAGGGAUGUGUCAUUGGAGGUGCCUGAUAUACAGCUGCAGCCAUGGAUCAUCUCCAGCAGUGUGACUUUUGUGGCUUUCCGACCAGCCAUCACCCAUUAAAGACUGUGUGCCAGGAAAAGGUCAUGUAACAGCUCCAUAGGGAACACACCUUGUUCUCCAGCUCCUUCUGUAAAAUGUCAGGUAUCCUACAAGUGAAUCAAGGAUUUGGAAUGCAACUCCAUUCAAAUUUAAAAGUGCAUUCCCUUGAGCUGCUGAAUUUGACCUGAAAAAUUCAGCCAAAUUCCUGGUCAUGGUGCACUGCAGAGACCUGAUGAGACCUUUCAGCUCCUGCCACUUUCUGCCCACAUCUGUCCCGCUGUAUCUGACCCUAUUGAUGCUGGUGCACUGGGCCACCAUUGUGUGCCAGUUUGGAUGCCCAGUGCAUGACAAUAUCUGGUCUUUUUGUAGGUGACUCAUUUGGGCCUUAAUCCCAUUUCUAAUCUAGCUAUGUUAUUAUUUCCCAGUUUUGAUGGAUGGGCUUGUUAGCUUUAUGUUACUCAUGAAACGUCUUUCUGUUGUAGUUUCUGAUUAAAAACAUCUCUCUGUUUCAUCUUUA